AAAAGGCCGGGAUAGCUCAGUUGGUAGAGCANAGGACUGAAAAUCCUCGUGUCACCAGUUCA
rnacentral:tRNA from 1 species